CGCCGGCUAACUACGUGCCCAGCAGCCGCGGUUAAUWACGUAAGGGCGCGAGCGUUGUUCCCGGAAAUUAUUUGGGGCGUAAAAGGGGCUUCGUAGGCGGGCUGGGUCGCGUCUGUCGUGAAAUCCCCUCGGCUUAAACUGGGGGGCUUGCGGUGGGUACGGGCCGCCUUGAGUUGCGGUAAGGGGAGAACUGGAAUUCCUGGUGGUAGCGGUGGAAUGCGCCAGAUAUUCAGGAGGGAACACCGGUGGCGAAGGCGGGUCUUCUGGGCCGUUACUGACGCUGAGGAGCGAAAGCGUGGGGAGCGAACAGGAUUAGAUACCCUGGUAGUCCACGCCGUAAACGUUGGGCACUAGGUGUGGGGGCUCUUUCCGGGGUGUCCGCGCCGUAGCUAACGCAUUAAGUGCCCCGCCUGGGGAGUACGGCCGCAAGGCUAAAACUCAAAGGAAUUGACGGGGGCCCGCACAAGCGGCGGAGCAUGCGGAUUAAUUCGAUGCAACGCGAAGAACCUUACCAAGGCUUGACAUGUGGGCGGUUGGCGCGGAGACGUUCCCUCCCUUUUUGGGCGCCCUCACAGGUGGUGCAUGGUUGUCGUCAGCUCGUGUCGUGAGAUGUUGGGUUAAGUCCCGCAACGAGCGCAACCCUUGUCCCGUGUUGCCAGCACGUUGUGGUGGGGACUCGCGGGAGACUGCCGGGGUCAACUCGGAGGAAGGUGGGGAUGACGUCAAAUCAUCAUGCCCCUUAUGUCUUGGGCUUCACGCAUGCUACAAUGGCCGGUACAGAGGGCUGCGAUGCUGUGAGGCGGAGCGAAUCCCUUAAAGCCGGUCUCAGUUCGGAUCGGUGUCUGCAACUCGACACCGUGAAGUUGGAGUCGCUAGUAAUCGCAGAUCAGCAACGCUGCGGUGAAUACGUUCUCGGGCCUUGUACACACCGCCCGUCACGUCAUGAAAGUCGGCAACACCCGAAGCCCG
rnacentral:rRNA from 1 species